GACAGGAGAAACGAACAGGACAUUCGUCCCAAUUGAGUAAUUGACAGUACACCUAACUCUUUAUAACAUAUUCGACAACAAAACAUGCAAUAAUAAAGUAUCGAAUUACCUAUUUCCUCCUAAACGAUACUAGGCAGAGCCCGGUGGCCUAUAUUAGAUCAAAUCCCAGUCGCACUGUAAAAUUGAAAGAAAAUCCCAGAGCAGAUGGUUCAUCUAUGUGAUGACUUUUAAACACAAUACUGCGUUCUAUUGCCCUCUUAAGUUUUGUCGAGAAAAAGGUAUAUUAUAUGACUGACUUACAAUAGCAGAAAAAUGACCUCGUUGUCGUUGAGCCAUAUGUCGGUUAAUUUCAGUUCUUUUUUAGACAAAUUUUCUAUCAAAAAUUACUCUGUAGCUGUUCUUAAAGUUAUUUCUCUCUGAAAUGUCCAACUACAACUGUCUUUAUAAUGGUAUUUGGGUUUCCCCAUUUUUGUGUCUUUCAUUCCCAGUUCCAGUAACCCAAAUCUCAUUUUCUCAGUCCAAGACACUCCUAUAUGUAUGUAGUUUACUGUUUACAUGAAUAUAAGUUUUGAACUUUAUAUAGUUUUGAAAAUAGACAGAGAGUUCGGAAGCUUUGAAGUGCAAGGCAAAGCGUUCCGUGGUUCAACUGUUUUAUGUUUAACUGUGUGAGAUUAUACUUGUUCUCAACACAAUAACGUGAUUUGCAUCCAGCUUCGAAAGUAAAAUUGCUCGAUCACAGUCAUCGGUAGUAAUAGUCAACCAGUUACGUUCUAGAUUUGAAAGGUAGAGUUAUACUCUUAAUAUUAAACUGUUACCAAAUUUGCACUGAUAAAAUAAAAUGAAACUACUUUGCAAAUAAACCGGCACAGUCAAAAAUGACGCGCGAGCUAACCUUCUAACAGAAUAUAUUUUCUUUUCUACGCCAAUGCGAAAAAGUUUGACAAGCGAAACAUCAGUCUGUUGACGUCAAUGGCAAAAACAUAAUGACAAGUAACCUACGUACGUAUAUUGUUUUCCGGCAUUUGGCUUAGUUAUGGCCUUGAGCGGUGACGUCACGACUGGGGACUAGUUAUAGACUGGUAUAUGAACUCAGUGAUGACGAAACCUGGCUAUACUAAUAUGUGAUCAUGCAAACUUGGGUGUCCGGUAAAGAUUCUACAAAAAGCUGGGCCGUGUUUUGGGUCUGAAAAUGGGGCAGUAAACUUUUGCUCCACACUGUACAGUACAGUACUGCGCCCUGGUCUGAACUACCUGGAGAGGGGGGGGGGGGUGUUAAAAUCUUCGACGUUGGAUACUUAACCGAAGAGUUUUUAACUGUUUUCAGGUAAUCCAUGCCAGAUCCAAAACACUAAAAGUGAAGUGAAACACUGAGUAGUCAAUAUGUUUCAGUUUUACUGUUAAG